CUUUGACCAAAGGAUAUCUCUGCCCAGCUAGCCAGUUUCCAGGUCUCAGAACCAUGGAGAAUCCGGCAAGAGUUCUAGAAGCAGAAUGGAAUACAGAUGACCCUCUCCUCCCCGGAAGCAGUGAACGGAAACUAUGGGCUUUGAAAAUAGUCUUUCUGCCUGUCAGAAAGGAGGGAAAACCAAACUCUUCAAUACUGCCAAGGGAAAUCUGGAGAAACUCAUUAAAUAAGAGGAAUAUUAGCCGGGCGGUGGUGGCGCACGCCUUUAAUCCCAGCACUCGGGAGGCAGAGCCAGGUGGAUCGCUGUGAGUUCGAGGCCAGCCUGGGCUACCAAACGCCCGUGGCAGCUACUGCCCUCACUGGACGAAGAUGUCAAGAUGAGCACAACACAGCCCUUAACUGGAAAGAAGAAACCUCACGCCUUGAAGCAGUUGGUUUGGGUUACAAUUGCUCAGUCUUAUUGUUAAUAAUCAAAAAUUUUGAUUUAGUAAAAAAGAGAUGUGUCAGAGAGAUGAUUCGGUUGUUGAGCAUGCAUACUGCUCUUGGAGAGGACCAGAGUUCAGUUCCCAGCACCCAUGUCAUCGACCUAUGGCUUCCUUUAACUACCUCCAGGGCUUCUGACACCUCUCUCCUCCUUGGGCACGUACAUACAUUCACACAGACAUAAACAUAUACACAUAAUUAAAAAUAAAAUAAAAUCUUCUUUAAAAAGGAAAGAUGUUUAUUACAUAAACUGCAUUAUAAUAAUCAGUUAGGCAAUUGACCUCAGUCACAGUAUCUCACUGUAGUUGGGAGGCAGACAUGAAAACCAGUCUUACAGCCCUCCAUGAUAUUGUAGUUGAGUUAUGGGCACAGAGCUAUGGGGAUGAGUGGCUAGGUGUGUCUAAGCAGGAGUUGGGGAGAAGCCUCCUCAGGGGAAUAAGCAUUUCAGUCUACCCUUAAAAGGAUUAUUUAAAUAUUAGUAAAUCAAAACAUAGGAAUGUAUCUUUACGGGUUUUACCCUAAGCCAGUGAUACCCAAAUGUGUCCUCUUAUCUCCCUGCCUCACAGCUGUUCUCACAUGAUCCAUACUCAUCUUUUCCAAGUGCAUGUGUCGUCACUCAUUUCCCAUCUUCUUGGUGAAUCCAGAUCCCUUGGUCAACAUCCAAGGCCUUCCCCACUCCAAGGCCACCCAUAGUCUACUCCUGGUCCCUGCUGUGCCUCCCAGGCAUGGUGUUUGCUGCAGCCAGACAGGACCCCUCCUGCUAUCAUCCCUUAUCACAGCAACACCUGCCUCCAUGACUUUGGCAUCCGUGUUCUCAACCAUGUAUAAGAGCUCUGUGCUUUUUUUUCUUGGCAGUCAAAGAAAGCCUGAAUUAGUAACUGACCCUUAAACCUGGUGAUCAGGGAUGGACCAGACUGUGGGGCCAUAGAGCUCCUAGACCAGUGCCCAGCACGGAACUCGUUCUCAGUGUUUGGGAUGAAUUAAUAAAUAAAAGAAAUAUAUCAAAACUUAACAUGGCCACGGUUCAAGGGUAAUGGAAUGACCUAGAAAGAACCAAGGUACUACCUAUGAAUGGAGAUUAUCUUUUUCUCAGAAUUUUAUACACUCACUCUCUCUGACAUGUUGCUGCCAAAUCUCUCAGAGAUAUUGCCCGUCAUUUGAGACUAGGAGCACAUCACCGUUAACAGUUUUGUUGAUAUAAAUUGGUUUGUUGGAUCUUGAUAAUAAAGGAAAAUAUAAGAUAUUUCGACCACAGCUCUGGAAGCUUAUAUGUAAUUAUACAUAGCAGAAUGUAAUAGUAAGUAGCUCUAGCCUUUAAAGCUCUCUUAAG